rnacentral:rRNA from 1 species
CUACGACCUCAGAUCAGACGAGACAACCCGCUGAAUUUAAGCAAUCUUACUAAGCGGAGAAAAGAAACUAACCAGGUUUCCCUCAGUAGCGGCGAGCGAAGAGGGAAGAGCCCUUCGCUGAAUUCCUGUCCGACCGGCGGGGACGGGGCAUGUAGCGGAUAGAAAACCGCUUUGCCCGGUGUCGAUCGGGGGCCUGAGUCCUUCUGAUCGAGGCUCAGCCCGUGGACGGUGUGAGACCGGUAACGGCCCCCGUCGCGCCGGGGUCCAGUCUUCUCGGAGACGGGUUGCUUUGUGAAUGCAGCCCAAAGUGGGUGGUAAACUCCAUCUAAGGCUAAAUACCGGCACGAGACCGAUAGUUCGACAAGUACCGUAAGGGAAAGUUGAAAAGAACUUUGAAGAGAGGAGUUCAAGAGGGCGUGAAACCGUUGAGAGGGGUAAACAGGUGGGGUCCGCGCAGUCUGCCCGGAGGAUUCAACUCGGCGGGUCAGGGUCGGUCGUUCCGGUGUGGUCGGAUCCCCUCGUGGGACUGACCCCCGGGUCGGGCGCCCCCGCGCGGCCCCUCCGGGCGCCUGGUGCGCCGCGACCGGCUCCGGGUUCGGCUUGGAAGGGCUUGCGGCGAAGGUGGCUACCGGUUUCGGGCGUGAGCUUUACAGCGUCCCUGCUCCGUACUCGCCGCUUUCCGGGGCCGAGGACUUUAGUACCCGCUGCGUCAUGUCCCCCUGCGGGGGGGCACGGGGCCCCCUACUCCCGGCGCGACUGUCAACCGGGUCGGACUGUCCUCACUGCGACCCAACCGCGUUGCGUCGCCAGGGCGGGGAUCGGCUCACGUAAACUGGCGCCAGGGGUCAGUGGCGAUGUCGGCAACCCACCUGACCCGUCUUGUAACACGGACCAAGGAGUCUAACGCGCGCGCAAGUCAGAGGGUUUUCUCCGAACACACCCCGUGGCGCAAUGAAAGUGAGGGCCGACGCGUGUCGGCUGGAGGUGGGAUCUCCGGCCCUCGGGGGCGGGCGCACCACCGGCCCGGUCUCGCCCGCUCUGUCGGGGAGGGGGAAGCGUGAGCGCGUGCGAUAGGACCCGAAAGAUGGUGAACUAUGCCUGGGCAGGGCGAAGCCAGAGGGAACCUCUGGUGGAGGUCCGGUAGCGGUCCUGACGUGCAAUCGGUCGUCCGACCUGGGUAAUAGGGGCGAAAGACUAAUGAACCAAUCUAGUGCUGGCUCCUCCGAAGUUUCCCUCAGGAUAGCGCUGGCUCUCGAAGCUCGCAGAUUUAUCUGGUAAAGCGAAUGAUUAGAGGUUUGGGGCCGAAACAUCUCAAACCUAUUCUCAAACUUUAAAUGGGUAAGAAGCCCGGCUCGCUGGCUUUGGAGCGGGCGUGGAAUGGCGAGCCGCCUAGUGGGCCCCAUUUUGGUAAGCAGAACUGGCGCUGCGGGAUGAACCGAACGCCGGGUUAAGGCGCCCCGAUGCCGAGCUCCAUCAGACCCCAGAAAAAGGUGUUGGUCGAUAUAGACAGCAAGGACGGUGGCCAUGGAAGUCGGAAUCCGCUAAGGAGUGUGUAAAAACUCACCUUGCCGAAUCAACUAGCCCUGAAAAUGGAUGGCGCUGGAGCGUCGGGCCCAUACCCGGCCGUCGCCGGCAAUGAGAGCCUCGAGGGCUAUGCCGCGAUGAGUAGGAGGGUCGCCGCGGUGAGCACGGAAGCUAGGGCGCGGGCCCGGGUGGAGCCGCCGCGAGUGCGGAUCUUGGUGGUAGUAGCCAAUUUUCAAACGAGAGCCUUUGAAGGCCGAAGUGGAGAAGGGUUCCAUGUGAACAGCAGUUGAACAUGGGUCAGUCGGUCCUAAGAGAGGGGCGAACCCGUUGGGAAGGGAGGGGCGAUGCCCUCCUGCGCCCCCGGCCGCGAUCGAAAGGGAGUCGGGUUCAGAUCCCCGAAUCCGGAGUGGCGGAGAUGGGCGCCGCGAGGCGGCCAGUGCGGUAACGCGACCGAUCCCGGAGAAGCUGGCGGGGAGCCCCCGGGGAAGAGUUCUCUUUUCUUUGUGAAGGGCAGGGCACCCUGGGAAUGGGUUCCCCCGAGAGAGGGGCCCAAGCCCUGGAAACGUCGCGGUGUUCCGGCGGCGUCCGGUGAGCUCUCUCGCUGGCCCUUGAAAAUCCGGGGGAGAGGGUGUAAAUCUCGCGCCGGGGCCGUACCCAUAUCCGCAGCAGGUCUCCCAGGUGAACAGCCUCUGGCCAUGUUAGAACAAUGUAUGUAAAGGAAAGUCGGCCAAGUCAGAUCCGUACUUUCGGGAUAAGGGAUUGGCUCUAAGGGCUGGGCCGGGUCGGGCUGGGGUGCGAAGCGUGGCUGGGCUCGAGCCGCGGCUGGGGGAGCAGUUGCUCCGCCGCCCUCCCGUCGCCACCCGUUGGAAGUUUGUCGUGUGGCCCAUCAUGGGGGCUCUCAUUGGCGGUCUCGCAAGGGGCCGUUUGUGGGGGUUCAUUGUGGUGGUGUCCUGCGGCAGGCCUAAGGCGGACCGGCGAUGGGUUGGGUUAGGCGGGUGCAGCGGCGACUCUGGCGCGUGCCGGGCCCUUCUCGCGGAUCUCCCCAGCUACGGUGCUCGUCGGCCCCGUUUACGCGGGGUCUCCGGCGGUUUCCUCGGACGGCGCCUAGCAGCUGACUUAGAACUGGUGCGGACCAGGGGGAAUCCGACUGUUUAAUUAAAACAAAGCAUCGCGAAGGCCCAAGGGGGGGAUGACGCGAUGUGAUUUCUGCCCAGUGCUCUGAAUUGUCAAAGUGAAGAAAUCAAUGAAGCGCGGGUAAACGGCGGGAAUAACUUAUGACUCUCUUAAGGUAGCCAUGCCUCGUCAUGCGCGUCUCUAAUUAAGAACGCGUAUGAAAGGGAUGAUGAGAUUCCCACUGUCCAACCUACUACCUAGCGAAACCCAACAGCCAAGGGAACGGGCUUGGCCAGAAUCAGCGGGGAAAGAAGACCCUGUUGAGCUUGACUCUAGUCUGGCACUGUGAAGAGACAUGAGAGGUGUAGAAUAAGUGGGAAGGCCUCGCCCGCCGGUGAAAUACCACUACUCUUAUCGUUUUCUCACUUACCCGGUGAGGCGGGGAGGUGGCCCCGAGGGGCCCUCGCUUCUGGCUUCAAACAACACUUACCCGGUGAGGCGGGGAGGCGAGCCCCGAGCGGGCUCUCGCUUCUGGCGUCAAGCACCCGGCGCGAGCCGGGCGCGACCCGCUCCGGGGACANNNNNGGGGGGGGGUUGGACUGGGGGGGGACACCUGUCAAAAGGGGGCGGUACACCUGUCAAACGGAAACGCAGGUGUCCUAAGGCCAUGCUCAGGGAGGACAGAAACCUCCCGUGGAGCAGAAGGGCAAAAGGCUCGCUUGAUUGAAUUUCAGUAUGAAUACAGACCGUGAAAGCGGGGCCCACGAUCCUUCUGACUUUUUGGGUUUUAUANNNNNNAAUCCCCCCUAAACG